GACUCGCAACAGUUUUGGGAGAUGCUUUUUUUUUCUCUUUGCAAUAGUGGUCAUUCUUUUGAUUUACAUUACGAAAAAAAAAUAAUAAUUGCAUUAUCUUCACAUCUUCGUCGUGCUUGUGCACACUCACAGGGUCUAUUUCAAGCGCGCCAAUCACCAGCGCUGUUUGAUCCCCUGUUUGGUACCCUGCUCAAUAUGUGCGCAAGUUGAUCGACGACCAGUUUUCCACGGUGGCGCGAGCAUUAACAUUACAAUGCCUACGCACAAGAACGCAUGUGUGGCUAAGUUGGCGGGUUUGUUCAAAUGUGACUUCACAGGAGGUGAGAUUAAAGGUGAGAAAUACCACUGGCUUACCAUCCAACAAUUGAAAAUAAAUGGAGAAAUGACGGCAAAGACGAUAACGAGAUUUCCGUAUGACAAACUCCACAAGUUUGGGCUUGGCUUUGUUGAUUUUACACUGCUUUUGCUGUGCUAGAGUACAAGCCGCUGAUGAGUCAUUGCUUACAGGACGACCAGCUUCUUAGCAUUUCUUCACGAUGGCCACUGUUGUUAAGACUGUGAUCUCCUGUAUUAGCCUUUAGUUGGACCAAGAGAGAACACUAUUUCCUUGGCAUCAGAGGCUCCUUUGUUACUAACUGUGCAUCACUGGUUCAUGAAGGACUAGGACAUGGUAGUAGCCCCAUCGCUACCAACAAAAUGAAUACUCCCAACCAACACGGCUCUUUUCAACCAAUUAAGUUGUGCUUCUACUCAAGGCAGAUUGAAGAGAUUGCUUGGCUGAAAAAAAACAGGUUGGAUUGUUUAAAUAUAAUCCCAGAUCAACACUCAUUGUUUUGCAGGCUUGCAUCUGUGGAUGGUUGAAAACAAAUCUUAAGAACUGAAAAAAAGUAGAGGGAUGAAAUAUGUUAAAUUGCUGCUUACAGGCUUGAGGAAAAGGACUUUUUGGGAAGUAUACAUGUAUUUAAGGUGUUUUGAAAAAUAAAAUACACUAACUAGUCAAGCAACAAUUGAAAAGAAAUGGAAAAAUGACAACUAAGAAGAUAAUAAGAUUUAUAUGAGAAACUCCAGUGAUGUGGGCUUGUAUCGUAUUUGGCCCCGAUCUUUGUUGGUUUGACACUGCUUUCAAUGAUGUUUCAACUACUGUUGUAAAGUGCACCUAUAUAUUUUGAAAUUGUGGCCUCCACGUGU